rnacentral:lncRNA from 1 species
UGAGGAUUGUUUUUGCCCUCUUCCCUUCUCACUGGAGCCUGCCUUCUUGUGCUUGUGACGCAGUUAUACUUUCUCUUCCUUCACAGGGAGAAGGCAGAUGGUCACUUUGUCUCUCCACUUUGGAAGAGAUUUUACUUUGAGACAAGAUCCCGUUGCAAUGAAGACCAGUGAUACCCAGUUGGUUUUGGAAGACUGCCCUGUAUGUUUCUACAAGGCAGAAUUGGUGAUGAGGGCCCACAGAUGAAAACACAAGAGUGCUAACUAGCCUGCGCCCUUAAGAAACUUGCCAAGAAUUGGAGCCAGCCAACUUCCCCAAG